GCCGAUGUGGCGGAACUGGUAGACGCGCACGACUCAAAAUCGUGUAGUAGCAAUACUGUGUGGGUUCGAUUCCCUCCUUCGGCA
rnacentral:tRNA from 4 species